GCAUUCUCAACAGUCAGAUCUGUGUUUCUCUCCGAAGGAUUUCCGUUUGGAGCUGCGUGACUCGAGGCUAAACGGUGGCCGAAUAAAUAUUCAAGCGUUUCUUUUCCUUUCUAGUCUCUUCGUUUCAUCUUAUUUAUAAACAGGGAAACUAUUUCAGUUUGUGGCUUUCAACAACUCAGAAAAAAAAAAAAAAACUAAUGCUCAUCAAAGAAGUGCUAGAAUGCAUCUAAAACAUUCUUCCAGCUCUUAAUGAUUGAAUUACUCGAGGAACUAGGACUGGUUACUAAGGGAUAUCGAUAAACAGGUUUAUGGAAGGAGUCUCCAGUGUCAGAGCUAUGACAAGGUCGAAGCUAGCCGUGUCUUGAGGAAUGCUCUUGCCGGAUGCAGGGUUGAGGAGACGUAAACUUUUCUUCCCUCUGUUUAUUCCAUGGUACAGCGGCCCUGACGGACCGACGUCUUCUUCAUGAAAUGCCCAGAUCACGCGCAUUGUGCUACCCUGUUCAGAGAAACUACAGCAUUAACAAGUCAGAUCUUUAAAGUAAGAUCAUCUUCACCUUCUCUCUCAGGUCUGGAGCUUCCUGCUGAACGCCAGCACGGUGUGCGUGUCAUUUUCUCUUGCGUACAACAGCUUGUAAUUCUGGACUUGAUCUUUAUGGACUUUUCUUUCGCUGUCUGCAAAGUAGUCCUGGAGAACGAGUGGAAUAAAACAAGAUGCUGGUUGGAGUGUUGUCCAAUAAAGCAAUCAAUCCAA